UCCUUCUGAAGCAUCCAUCGGCUGAAAAAAGUGGUACACCGGAUGUGGCGGGGGAGGGUCAGUGCAAGAUGGAAAGACAUGAGGUUUUUCCUGUGAUGGUCUUAUGAAGUGUAUGGAAUUUUCAGUGACUUGGUGCCUGUGUUAUGAUUCUUUAUUUUAUGAUCAAAUGGUGACAUGUGAUCCUAGCAUUCCGCACUGUAAGUCUGACACAAAUGGUUGAAGGUCAAACAUUCACAAUUGCAGAGUGUGUUAGAUGGGAGAAUGGAUGGACUACUAUCAUUCGGAUGGCACCUGGGCGACACAGUUUGAGCAUAUUGUGCUGGUCACUAGGAUGGGCACAGAAAUAUUGACGGAGCCUUGAGUUUAUAUCAUGCGGAUUGUAGUAAAGAGUUUGCUGGGCCAUCUCUUUUCAGAAUGGGUUGUGCCAAGAGCUCUCUCAUGUUUCUCCGGCCAUUAGGCAUUGGUGCAUCGGUGUC